GACGAACGCUGGCGGCGUGGAUUAGGCAUGCAAGUCGAACGGUAUCAUCCUUUCGGGGGUGAGAGAGUGGCGAACUGGUGAGUAACACGUAGGUUAUCUACCCUCAAGACGGGGACAACCCAGGGAAACUUGGGCUAAUACCGGAUGUGAGCAACUUUUAGUUGUUUGAAAGGUGGCGUAAGCUGUCGCUUGGGGAUGAGCCUGCGUCCUAUUAGUUAGUUGGUGAGGUAACGGCUCACCUAGGCAAUGAUAGGUAGGCGGCCUUAACGGGUGGUCGCCCACACUGGGAUUGAGAUACGGCCCAGACUCCUACGGGAGGCAGCAGUCGAGAAUAGUCUACAAUGGUCGGAAGACUGAUAGUGCGACGCCGCGUGAACGAUGAAUCCCUUCGGGGUGUAAAGUUCUUUUAUAUGUGACAGUGCUUCUUAAUAUUAACAGUAUGGGGAGAGAGAUAUUAGCAUAUGAAAUAAGCAAACGGCUAAACUCCGUGCCAGCAGCCGGGU
rnacentral:rRNA from 1 species